UCCUCUUCAACGCUGCGUUUCUAUGCUACAAACGGAGAGCCUGCGCAAGCAGUGCUUUCAACACCUUCUAUUGGCAUAUGAGAAAUUCGGAGAAUCGGCUUCACUCUCUGGCUCGUCCGUCUGCGCCCUCGGGCGUUCCGACGGGUUGCGGGCUCUGCCGGUGACGGCUUGGCGCGAUAUCGCGUCUGUAAUUGGCAUCAGAAAAGCAGGGCCUGGGGCUGCCUCGUGCCUCGGCGUGUGGCAGCUCCCACGGUUCCUCUGGGAGAGCCGUUACGAAGCUUGUGGCCAGACACUUGAGUGCAAUACGCAGCGUGCGGUCCUGCCUCCUCUGGGGGUGGGCAUCACACAAUUCGAUUCCGAUUAUUCUGUUGAGGA
rnacentral:RNase_P_RNA from 2 species